CCUACGGGUGGCAGCAGUGGGGAAUAUUGCGCAAUGGGCGCAAGCCUGACGCAGCGACGCCGCGUGAGGGAUGAAGGUCUUCGGAUCGUAAACCUCUGUCAGCAGGGAAGAACGGUCACUGUGCUAAUCAGCAGUGAAUUGACGGUACCUGCAAAGGAAGCACCGGCUAACUCCGUGCCAGCAGCCGCGGUAAUACGGAGGGUGCGAGCGUUAAUCGGAAUUACUGGGCGUAAAGCGCUCGUAGGCGGUAUGUCAAGUCAGGUGUGAAAUCCCCGCGCUCAACGGGGGAACUGCCUUUGAUACUGGCAGACUGGAGUGUGUGAGAGGAUAGUGGAAUUCCAGGUGUAGGAGUGAAAUCCGUAGAUAUCUGGAGGAACAUCAGUGGCGAAGGCGACUAUCUGGCACAUAACUGACGCUGAGGAGCGAAAGCGUGGGUAGCAAACAGGAUUAGAUACCCGAGUAGUC
rnacentral:rRNA from 1 species